rnacentral:rRNA from 1 species
UUCAAACUGCCACCGACUACGCGAGCAAUGUUCGCUGGUGGACGUCCGUGUUUUUUACUGUGCUAAAGAAGUGCGACCAAGGCAGUCCAUCGACAUGAAUUAGAAAGCAUGGGAUAACAAGCAGCAGCCUAUGAGCUACCGUUUAGGCUUUUGUUGGUUUUAAAGGUUCGUGGGAGAUUCGGGCGUGUAGGACCGGCGUUGGGGGUUUUCCAAAAUCCCCGCGUCUCCUCCUGGCAUCGGAACGGUGCUUGCGGGGCCUGCUUCGCUCAGGAAUGAAGGAGGGUUGCUCGGGGGAGACGUACUUGAACGUGAGAGGUGAAAUUCUUAGACCGUUCAAAGACGAACUACAGCGAAGGCUUCUCCAAGGAUACCUUCCUCAAUCAAGAACCAAAGUGUGGAGAUCGAAGAUGAUUGAUACCAUUGUAGUCC